CCCAGCUUCUGCAAUAGCUUGCCUGAAAACUGCCCACCAUGGAUUUGAAUCAUCUGCUGCUGUCAUUAAUGGGCGUCCCAUGUGAUCUCUUAUGGGUCCCUUCUCAAUUAUCUCAUAUGUCAUGUUACGUAUAGCGGGUGCCCACUCUUCUGCAAUACUUUUCUUGAUAAGAUCUGGGUCUGCUGUAGGAGGCAAUCGAAGAUCAAACCCUGCUUCUGCCUCUGAAGGUUGCAUAUUCAUGACAAAUCCAGUAGGGGAAGGNNNNNNNNNNNAACUGGAUUAACUGAAAUAACCUCCGAAUUGGCUGCUUUCCGAGACUUAACAACAUCGAACUGACUUUCCCUAAAGCUACUAAUAAUCUCUACACUCUUC
rnacentral:misc_RNA from 1 species